rnacentral:piRNA from 1 species
UGGAACCUUGUCGGACCUUGGCU